GGGCUGCGCUGGCUGAGGAGGGAUGAGGCAGUGCGGGCGUUGUACGGAGCUUCUGGGGGCUGAGAGAGUCUGGCUAAACUUGAAAACCACCAGCAAAAGUGUAGCUCACAAAAAUGCCAGCUGAGAAAGCUGUUGCUGGCCAGAACUGCCACGGCACCCAUCGAGCUGCACCCACAUACCCUGCUGUCAGCACUUUUCUUCUCAGCUCUGUGUACCAUCAGAAUCCUUCAGUCUCUCAGAGUCAGAAGCCAAACCUCAAUUGCAGUGCUGAUUGCUCACAGACUAAAGCUACCGAGACAAAAGGCUCAACACCUUGGCUUUUGCAUUCUCACUGUAACACUUCAGCAGCUCUAACCCAUGGAACUGGAAAGUAGGAAACACAAAUUCACCAAGAUCACCCAAAGAAGGGAGAAAAGGCACCACAAGGUAAGGGAGGGGUAGGUAAGUCAUGGCAGCAGCACGGUAUGUAAGGUAAGGCAAGAGAGCCAUAGAAAGGGAAGGAAACCAGCAAGGCCUUGUGUUUCAGGUGCACAUGAUGGGCUACUGAGUAAACACCAGCUUUCUGUUCUGACACCUCUGGUGUAGAAAAUCCAAGUAUCAUGUGAAAAGGUGAGGCAUCCUUGACUCUUAGUGUUUAAUUUCUGUCAACUUCCCAGGAAGGCUCUAAAAACUACGUUAUCCCACUACGGACUAAGUACAACCAAAAUACAAUUAGUACAGGUUUUAUCCACUUUCUUGAGCCCCAUGUUGGGCACCAAAAUAUUUGUCAUGGUUUGAGACAAAUUUGGGAGUAAACUUCCCAAAGGGUCUCCUCUAAAAAAGCAGAUUCUAGCAGCCCCUGCCCCAAUGAAUUCGGGAGAAAAUCUUGGAGAAAAUGGGGAAGAAAAAAAAAAAAAGUUUAUUUAGCAAGCAAAGUAUUCACAAGCAUGAAAAGAUAAAUAAUAUUAACCUAUAAAACCUCUCAUUAUUCUGAAGAGCUGGCAAAUUCAAAGAGUCCUGUUGUUCAGAGAGUCCUCUGUGGGUGUUGUUCAGUCUCAGUGUCUCUGGGGUUCGGGCCACAGUGCAGCUUGGGUGGCUCCCAGGUGAUUGUCCCAGACCAGAGAAAAGCUGAACAGUUCCAGAAAAUAAAAACACCAUCACAGGAAAAACUUUCUUGACUCAGCUCAUAGACAUGAAAGUAUCUUUAAAAAAAAGCAGAGGAAAGCUGUCUUCCCUCUAUCCAUGCUGCAGACAGCACACUGAGAGAAAGGAAUCCCAGGGGAGGAAACAGAGCUUUCAGAAAAAACAUUCUGUUGUUUCUCCCCCUUGUUCACUCUUAAAGGCACAAAACUUAUAUCUGGACCAAAAAGACAGAUGAUGGGGAUACCAGACCAUACAGUCACCCCAGGACAAUGUUCCAUCACACACUUUCAGUCUCACAAUGCCUAAACUGUCAAUAGAUGUCCCACACAGAAAAAAUGUGGCAGGACAAAAACAGUUGUUGGAUUAGCCUUGCAACCUUUCCAGAACACACCACACAUUGACGCUAUGGACCUUCCUUCUCAGCUCUGUGUCCUGUUGUACUGUCACAUUUUUUUCACUCUUGCAAAUCAUAGAUUGCAAAUUUUAAAAGUCCAGGAGCUGAUCCCAUACGGAAGGUCUUAAAGCAAAAAGCUGUUCUUUUCUCCUUCCCUUACAACCAGUGAACUACUUCAAACACACCUCUGCAUUGCACUUUUCAACUAUUUUCACCAUCACAAACUCUCAGUCUCAUAGUCUAAAUAGAAACCAAAGUCUCCAAGUGCAGCUUGUACAGAUAAUUAUGUGUGCCAUGAGAGAAAGAUUUUGGUGACCUAACCUUAUAACUGCACCCCUCCCUGUGCCUCUUUGUUCCUCCACAUUAAGCCCUGGCAUCUCAUCCAGUCUCCCCUGCCCCAGGGUGGCCCUUGUCCCUGCUUCUCUGUGCCUCUGUCCCUGUGUCCCCUGCUCAGUGCCUCUUCAUUCCUCCUGUCUUCCCACUGUCACAUCUCUGGUCUCACCUCAUCCUGUCCCACAUCACCCCAUCAUUCCUCAGGCAAAUAUCAAACAUUUGUGCUUUUAUUGUGGUUCUUCCCCAUAUGUUUGGAUUUUAAAAGGGACAAAUUCUCUGUUUUCUGAGGGGGUUUACUCCAAGUGCGGAAAUGAGCAGGUCCAGAAGAUAGGAAAUGCUUUGGAAAUUACCACAGAAGGCAC